ACGAACGCUGGCGGCAUGCCUAACACAUGCAAGUCGAACGAGACCUUCGGGUCUAGUGGCGCACGGGUGCGUAACGCGUGGGAACCUGCCCUUAGGUUCGGAAUAACUCCCCGAAAGGGGUGCUAAUACCGGAUAAUGUCUUCGGACCAAAGAUUUAUCGCCUUUGGAUGGGCCCGCGUUGGAUUAGCUAGUUGGUAGGGUAAAAGCCUACCAAGGCGACGAUCCAUAGCUGGUCUGAGAGGAUGAUCAGCCACACUGGGACUGAGACACGGCCCAGACUCCUACGGGAAGCAGCAGUGAGGAAUAUUGGACAAUGGGCGAAAGCCUGAUCCAGCAAUGCCGCGUGAGUGAUGAAGGCCUUAGGGUUGUAAAGCUCUUUUACCCGGGAUGAUAAUGACAGUACCGGGAGAAUAAGCGCCGGCUAACUCCGUG
rnacentral:rRNA from 1 species